rnacentral:misc_RNA from 1 species
GAAUUGCGAUAUGUAAUGUGAAUUGCAGAAUUCAGUGAAUCAUCGAAUCUUUGAACGCACAUUGCACCCUCUGGUAUUCCGGAGGGUAUGCCUGUUUGAGUGUCAUUAAUCUAUCAGUCCAACACAGGUUUUAACCAUGUAGUUGGUGUCUGAAUAAUGAAGGUUGCUGGAGUCAAUAUCAGCUCCUUUAAAAUGUAUUAGCCGAACUUUGUAUCAGCUUUGGUUUGAUAAUGAUUUUAUCCGUGCUGUUGCUGGUAAACAUGGUUCAGCUUCAAAUUGUCUCUGUGAGACUGUCCAAUUUCUGGGCAUUAUUUUGACUUGACCUCAAAUCAGGUAGGAUUACCCGCUGAACUUAA